GGAAAGGGGAGUGCGUGGGGAGAGAAUUGGUACUUUUUCUCAGGACUGGAGGAAGCUCUGAAAAUGGAAGCCAAAGACGCGGCUUUUGCCUAAGCCCACACGCGGGACUGGCGUGUCUGCAGCGUCGCGCCGCCAUGGAAUAUGUCCUCUUCGUGCUGUAUUUCUCUUUCUUCCUGUGUCUCUGCGCCCUUGUGUGCCUGUACUUCUCUGGCUGCCAGGAGAUGACCUAUAAGCAUGAAGAAGCAUGUUGUGGAGACAUUUUUUGGAUUUGAUGAGGAGUCUGUGGACUCAGAAACGUUGUCUGAAACAUCCUACAACACAGACAGGACAGACAGGACCCCAGCCACGCCUGAAG